CCCUUAGAUGUUCUGGGCCGCACGCGCGCUACACUGAACAGUUCAACAAGUCUUAACCUUGGCCGAUAGGUCUGGGUAAUCUUUGAACGCUGUUCGUGAUUGGGAUAGACCUUUGCAAUUAUGGGUCUUCAACGAGGAAUUCCUAGUAAACGCAAGUCAUCAGCUUGCAUUGAUUACGUCCCUGCCCUUUGUACACACCGCCCGUCGCACCUACCGAUUGAACGGUCCGGUGAAAUCUCGGGACGGCGGCUUGGUCGCUUGCGUCCGACUGCUGAAACUUGAUUAAACCAUAUCAUUUAGAGGAAGGUGAAGUCGUAACA
rnacentral:rRNA from 1 species